CCCAAGGCCCUGCAGUGUCACAGUGGAUCCUUGGUUCCAUGAGCCAGGUGCCACUUCAGAACAGGUAUGAGCCCCUGGAUCUAGAGAGUCAACCGCAUGAUUUAGAAGAAAAUUAUCUGCCCAGUGAGCCUCCGAAAUUAUGAUUCAUGUCUGAGAAGGAUUACCACCUGUAACAUCAAAAAGGAAAGAAGUAUAAUCGUGGUGAGUGACUCCCUACUGAGGGGAACAGAGGGCCCAUAUAUGAACCGGACCCACCCCACAGAGAGGUCUGCUGCCUCCCUGGGGCCUGGGUACAGGAUAUCACUGAGAGACUGCCUGGGCUGAUUCAGCUCUCUGAUUAUUGCCCACUGCUGAUACUCCAGGCUGGCAGUGAUGAGAUUGAAAAGAGGAGUGUCAGGACAAUUAAAAGGGACUUUGGGGCAUUGGGUCAGAUGAUUAAUAGGACAGAGGCACAAGUAGUCUUUUCCUCAGUCCCUUUGGAGGCUAAGAAGAGCAGUGAAAGGAAUAGAAGAGCUCAAAUUAUUAACAAGUGGCUUAAGAGUUGAUGUUGAAUUUUGAAUGCAGAAUUUUGAUUAUGGGGCAACUUUUACUGUACCUGGCCUGCUGCAACCAGAUGGGCUCCAUCUCUCUGUUAAGAAGCAGCAGGUUUUUAGCUAUGAACUGGCAGAACUUGUUGAGAGAGCUUUAAACUAGGUCUGAAGGGGGAAGGGGAUGCAGCUGGGCUGUCUGGAAGCAGGCCCAAUGGCUGAGUGAGCCUGAAUUAGGGGUGAAAUCAGCAGCCCAGCUGAGGUGCAUGGAUACCAGUGCACGCAGCAUGGGUAACAAACAGGAAGAGCUGGAGGCCAUGGCCCAGCAGCAGAGCUGUGGUGUAAUUGCCAUAAUGGAAAUGUGGUGGGAUGACUCACAUGGCUGGAGUGCUGCACUGGAUGGCUAGAAACUGUUCAGAAGAGAUAAAAAAAAAGACAAGAGGUGGAGGAGUGGCCCUUUAUAUUAGGGAGGGCUUUGAUGCUAUGGAUGUUGAAAGUAACGAUGAAGUUGAAUGCCCGUGGGUGAGAAUUAGGGGGAAGGCCAACAAGGCUGACAUCCUACUGGGAGCCUGUUAUCGUCCACCCAGCCUGGAAGAAGAGGGGGACAACUCAUUCUGUAAGCAGCUAGAGAAUGUGUCUGGAUCAUCAGCCCUUGUUCUUGUAGCUGACUUCAAUUUGCCCGACAUUUGCUGGGAACUUAAUACAGAAGAAAAAAGGCAGUCCAGGAAAUUUUUAGAGUGUGUGGAGGACAACUUUUUGUCACAUCUGGUGAGUGAGCCCACCAGGGGAGGUACUGUGUUAGAUCUUGUUGUUUGCAAAUAGAGAUGGGAGAUGUGGUGGUUGGAAGCCACUUGGGGCAGGGUGAUCACGAGAUUAUAAAAUUCUUGAUAUUUGGUGACGUCAGGAGGAACAUUAAUAAGACUUUUAUACUAGACUUUCAGAGGGCAGACUUUGGCCUAUUUAGGAGGCUUAUUCAAAGAGUUCCUUGGGAAGCAGCCCUUAAAUGCAAGGGGGUUCAGAAAAGGUGGAUAUGCUUCAAAACAGAGACCUUGAGGGCACAAGAACAGACUGUCCCUGUGUGCUGAAAGAUGAGGCGACGAGGCAAUCGCCCAGCCGGGAUGGGGAGGGAGGUUUUGGAAGACCUUAAGAAUAAAAAGAGGAUGAAUCAUCUUUGGAAGGAGGGUCAGGUCUCUCAGGAAAUAUAUAAGAGGGCUUCUAGAGCAUAUAGGAAAAAAAAUCAGGGAGGCCAAAGCUCAUUAUGAAUUUAAAAUGGCGACUUCUGUAAAGGAUAAUAAAAAAUGUUUUUACAAGUAUAUUAAUGGUAAAAGGAAGGGUAAGACCAACCUCUGUUCUAUACUGGAUGAGGGAGAGAACUUAGCAACUGCAGAUGAGGAGAGGGCAGAAGUGCUUAACACAGUCUUUGCCUCAGUCUUUGGUGGAAGACGGCUUGUCCCCAGGACAACUGUCCUCCUGUGUUGGUAGAUGGUGCCAGGGAACAGAAUGGUCCCCCCAUUAUCCAAGAGAAGGAAGUCAGAGAACUGCUGAGCUGCUUGGAUGUUCAUAAUCCAUGGAACCAGAUGGGAUCCACCCCUGGGUGAUGAGGGAGCUGGCAGAUGAGCUUGGCAAGCCACCCUCCAUCAUUUACCAACACUCCUGGCUCACUGGGGAGGUUCCAGAUGACUGGAAGCUGCCCAAUGUGACACCCAUUCACAAGAAGAGUGGGAAGGAGGAUCCUGGUAAUUAUAGGCCAGUCAGCCUGACCUCAGCACCUGGUGAGGUGAUGGAACAGUUUGUACUGAGUGUCAUCACCCAGCACUUACAGCAUGGCCAGGGUAUCAGACCCAGCCAGCAGGGGUUCAGGAGGGGUAGGUUGUGUUUGACCAACCUGGUCUCCUUUUAUGACCAGCUGACCCUCCUGGUGGAUGCAGGACAGGCUGUGGAUGUGUCUAUUUGGACUCCAGCAAGGCCUUUGGCACUGUCUCCCACAGCACACUCCUGGAAAAGCUGCAGCCCAGGGCUGGGACAGGAGCACUCUGGGCUGGGUUCAGAACUGGCUGCAUGGCCGGCCCAGAGAGUGCUGGUGAGCGCUGCUGCAUCCAGCUGGCAGCCAGGCACCAGUGCUGUCCCUCAGGGCUCUGUGCUGGGGCCAGGGAUGUUCAAUAUUUUUAUUGAUGACAUGGAUGAGGGGAUUGAGUCUUUCAUUAGUAAAUCUGCAGAUGACACUGGGCUGGGAGCAUGUGUCCAUCUGGUGGAAGGUAGGCGGGCUCUGCAGGCAGAUCUGGAAUGGUUGGGUGAUUGGGCAGAGUCCAAUAAGAUGAAGUUUAAUAACUUCAUGUCCCAAGUCCUGUAUUUUGGUCACAUAACCUCCUGCAAUAUUAUAGGCUGGGGACAGAGUGGCUGGACAGCAGCCAGGCAGAAAGGGACCUGGGGGUACUGCUCGACAGCCAGCUGAACAUGAGCCAGUAGUGUGCCCUGGUGGCCAAGAAGGCCAAUGGCUCCUGGCCUGGAUCAGGAAUGGUGUGGCGAGCAGCAGCAGGGAGGUCAUUCUUCCCCUGUACUCAUUCACUGGUGAUGCUGCAUCUUGAAUGCUGUGUCCAGUUCUGGGCUCCUCAGUUUAGGAAGGACAUUGAGAUGCUUGAGCACUUCCACAGGAGGGCAACAAGGCUGGUGAGGGGCUGGGAACACAAACCCUGUGAGGAACAACUGAGGGAGCUGGGGGUGUUUAGCCUGCAGAAAAGGAGACUCAGAGGUAUCCUAUCAAUCUCAACAACUUCCUGAAAGGUGGUUGUAGUCAUGUGGGGGUUGGUCUCUUUCUCCAGGCAACAAGUGACAGAACCAGAGCACACGGUCUACAGCUAUGCCAAGGAAAAUAUAGGCUAGAUAGUAGGAAAAAGUUUUUCAUGCAAAGAGUGAUAAAGUACAGGAAUGGUCUGCCCGGGGAGGUGGUGGAGUCACCAUCCCAGGAUGUGUUUAAAAAAAGAUUGGAUGUGGCACUCGCUGCCAUGGUUUAUUUGAGGCAUCAAGGAAUGAGUAGGACUCAAUGAUCUUAAAGGUCUCUUCCAACCCUGUGAUUCUGUGAUUUGGUGAUUCUGUAACCAGGGGAGCAUUAUGACACCUCAGGGCCCCAUGGAACCAAGGGAACAUGGAACAGGUCUGGUUGGCUUGGCCUCCCAGGGGCCACCUGACAGGUCCAGCUGAUCUUGGGAUAUCAAGGGCUGCCUCUCAUCAGCUCCUGCAGCACUGGGACUCCAUGAUUUCAUUGCUAUGGAAAAGAACCAUCCAUCUUUUCAGGUGACCAUAGCCAAAAUUGGUACUCUCCCUAAAAAAUUUCCUGUAGGCAAGGGUAUCUCCCAGAACAAAACCUGCCAGCUCUGGCUGGCCUUGGCCUCUGGUGAUCACCUCUCAUCUUCCCCUGAAACACUGCGGCUGUUCCUUCCUUCCGAUGGAAAAGAAUGAGCUUUCAUGCCAAGGGCCGUGGCCAAAAUUAGAAUUUGGCCUCCCAAAUUCCAUAUAUCUAAGGAUUGCUCCCAGACAAAAGCAGCCAGGACAGACAGGCCAGGCAGGUCCUGUCCUCUGGUGAUUUUCUUAGACUCCAAACUGAAUGUUUUCAUUUUAAAACACCUUGGGCGGAGCCCCCAGAGAUCUCCCAAAAAAGGCCUCAGGCCCAUGACCACUCCAUAUGGAGAAAGGAGCUCUGUGCUCUGUGCUGAUGUGGGGGUUUUGCAUCAUGGAAGUGAUGUUCUAAGAGAAGCUGCUAGCAGAUUCCUCUGUGUCUAAUAAAAAAAAAUCAGUAA